ACCUGGCUGGCUCAGUCAGUAGAGCAUAUGACUCUUAACCUUAGGAUCAUGAGUUCUAGUUUCAUGUUGGGUA
rnacentral:tRNA from 1 species